AUUGAACGCUGGCGGCAGGCCUAACACAUGCAAGUCGAGCGGAGCGGCGGACGGGCGUGUAACUCCUACGAAUCUGCCUGGCAGUUGGGGAUAACGUCCGGAAACGGGCCCUAAUACCGCACAGUAUCAGUUGACCCUUGGUUGGAUUAGCUGGUUGGUGGGGCAAAGGCCUACCAAGGCGACGAUCCGUAACUGGUCUGAGAGGAUGAGCAGGAACACUGAAACUGAGACACGGUCCAGACUCCUACGGAAGGCAGCAGUGGGGAAUAUUGGACAAUGGGCGAAAGCCUGAACCAGCCAUGCCGCGUGUGUGAGGAAGGUCUUCGGAUUGUAAAGCACUUUAAGUAGGGAGGCGUUGCCAACAGAGUAAGCGCCGGCUAACUACGUGCCAGCAGCCGCGGUAAUAC
rnacentral:rRNA from 1 species